rnacentral:lncRNA from 1 species
AGCAUUUUCCACGUGAUUAUCAACUUUACAGCCAUCAUUUCAAUGUCUGUACUAUUCCACAUGGUGGAUGAACUAGAGUCUACUCAUCUUUUAUUGUUGGGACAUUUAGGCUUUUUGCAAAUAAAAAUAUUUAUCAUAGCAGUUCCUUCCCUCCCCUGAUGGCCUCAUAAGCCUGUGGUCCUAGGACUUGACUCUUUCCCAAAUUAGGGUGCCCACGCUUCCUUAUUCCCUGACCACAUUCUUCCAGCAAACCCUCCUGGAGCUGAGUGAUAGGCACUCAUGGUGGGAGGCCCCAUUUAACACCAUCCAUGCAGCACUGAUUUGUUAUAGGCUGCUGUGGGGGGAGGGGGUCUCCAAGGAAACAGUUGAGGAAACAGAGAGUGAGGUGAGCAGGCAGCUAAAUACAGAAACUGUUAAGGGCAUCAGAAACACCCAUGGGCAUGUGGACAGCUGUAGAAAUAGGGCUGCAAGACACCUCAGCUAGAAUCUAAUGACCUGAGAGCACCAGGAAAAGAGAAGGGAGUUGACAGUGUAUGCAGCUAGGAACACAUCCCCGUCGGGGGUCUGCUCUGAGGACCCUCUAUAACCCUAAAGCAGACAGUACCUCUCCCAGCUCAGUAUGAUGUGCUCUAUGAUUAAUCUAACAUGAGGCGACUGUGUUCUCCAUCAAAGGAGAGACUGUUCCUGUGUGUGUGUGUUGAGGGGUGAGGGGAGGGGGGAACACCAGGGAGACCUUUAAGGAUGGGGUGGCAUUUGAGCAGGACCUCGAAAGAUGAGGAGGCUUUUGACAAAGGGAGUCCAGAGGCAGAGGACAGAACAUAGAACUAGAUGAAGAGCCCUUGAGGGCAGGGACGGUGGACCUCCCCCUCCCUCCCAGAUGCUGGCUCAGGCCUGGUGGACACUGGCAAAUGUCGUUUUGAAUGAGUGCCCCCGGGGGGAGAGGUGGCAGCAUGUGGGCGGUGGGGCAUUUGUUGGGGGGGGCGGUGAGUCUUCACCACUGCUGCUCUUGCCCCUCAGGUGCAGUGCUUUGACCCCAAGGAGGACCGGUGGAGCCUGCGGUCACCAGCACCCUUCUCACAGCGGUGUCUCGAGGCUGUCUCCCUUGAGGACACCAUCUAUGUCAUGGGGGGUCUCAUGAGCAAAAUCUUCACCUAUGAUCCAGGCACAGAUGUGUGGGGGGAGGCAGCUGUCCUCCCCAGCCCUGUGGUAAGUGGAGGCUUCAAGGCAGGAGAGCGGAACCCGCUUCUAAGGCUCUGGAUCUUGGAGCUUGUGAAUCUUGUGACUCCAUCCUAGGUGGUUUUAUUAUACAUCACUCUCUAGCUCAUCCUCACAGUGAUAGUGAACCAUGCAUUUCACAGAUGAGGAGACUGGCCUUAGAGAGGUUCAGCACCUGGCCCAGGCCAACAACUAGGCCCUGUUAAGGCAGAGCCUAGAACCCUGCAGUCCCAAGUGCUAUAGCUUUGAGUGGGGAUUUGGUCCAAAUGACCCUGUGGUCUCUCCUGCCCCGAAGGCCACUGCUAGUAACCAAUCAUGAGGUAAGAUGUGGGGAAGGGAGUUGCUAAGGUCUGCUCUAGUGAUAUCAGAGCAGGGAGGCCCAAGUCCUGGAAGCUCUGGCCCCUGCAAUUCCCUGCCUCCCCUACCUUCUUCUCCAUCCCCUGAAACUCCAGAGACUACACAGAUAUGGUUGGACUGGAGGUCUCUGCCAGUUCUGACCUUUGGUGACCUUAGAGGUGAGAUUUCUGGCUUGAGUCUGAGAUUCUAAGAUGGCGGCAGUCGAGAUUAUUGUUAUUGGUGUGCUUACCACAUUCCAGGCUCUAUGUAAAAUGCUUUAUAUGCUUAACUUCCAUUAACUGUUAAGGGAACCCUGUGAAGAAGGCACUUUAGUUCUUCUCCCUUUGCCGAUGAGGAAACUGAGGUCCAGAGAGGUUAAGUGACUUGCCUAACGCCAUUCACUGAAUAAGGGUCAAGCUAGAGCUGGAACUCAGGUCCAUCCAGUUUCCUGCCUCUCUACAGUCCAGAUUGCCUGUUCACAGUCUGUGGGUCAAGGUUCUAUUAUCUGGCCUGGCCAGGCAGGGACAGAGGAAGCCCCAGGCUGGACCUGAUAGUUGUCUUUCUGUUUGUCCACCCAGGAAAGCUGUGGAGUCACUGUGUGUGACGGGAAGGUCCACAUCCUUGGCGGGCGGGAUGAUCGCGGAGAAAGCACCGAUAAGGUCUUCACCUUUGACCCCAGCAGUGGGCAGGUGGAGGUCCAGCCAUCCCUGCAGCGCUGCACCAGCUCCCACGGCUGUGUCACCAUCAUCCAGAGCUUGGGCAGGUGAUUCAGAUUUGGACAGCCUGAGCCAGGAGGCGGAGAGGCAGGCGGAGCUCAGAUGCACACUCUGCUCCCUCAUGGCACCUCCACGCAAACAGCCCUUAACUUAAUGGUCCCUUUUCUUGUAUAAAUAAAAUCUUGUUGGGUCUGUGUUCCAGCUGCAGUCUGCCCUGCCUGGAGAUGGAA